GAUCAAGCGCAAAAGGGCAUUUGGUGGAUGCCUUGGUAUGCACAGGCGAUGAAGGACGUGAUAUGCUGCGAUAAGCUAAGGGGAGCUGCUAAUAAGCUUUGAUCCGUAGAUUUCCGAAUGGGGGAACCCACCUUAAGAUGUCUAGGAAAGUGAACUGUAAGGUUUAAUUUUUUAGGUAUUUUUGGGUAUCUUUACUUGAAUAAAAUAGGGUAAAAGAAGCGAACGCAGGGAACUGAAACAUCUAAGUACCUGUAGGAAAGGACAUCAAUUGAGACUCCGUUAGUAGUGGCGAGCGAACGCGGACCAGGCCAGUGAUAGAUAUAUUUUAAGUAGAAAUACCUGGGAAGGUAUGCCAUAGUAGGUGAUAGCCCUGUACACGUAAUGGAUAUAUUUAUACUUGAGUAGGGCGGGACACGAGGAAUCCUGUCUGAAUAUGGGGCGACCACGCUCCAAGCCUAAGUACUCGUGCAUAACCGAUAGUGAACUAGUACCGUGAGGGAAAGGCGAAAAGAACCCCUACUAGGGGAGUGAAAUAGACCCUGAAACCGAAUGCCUACAAACAGUCGAAGGCCGCGAGGCUGACGGCGUACCUUUUGUAUAAUGGGUCAACGACUUAGUGUGACAAGCGAGCUUAAGCCGAUAGGUGUAGGCGUAGCGAAAGCGAGUCUUAAUAGGGCGAUUAGUUUGUUGCAUUAGACCCGAAACCGAGUGAUCUAUCCAUGAGCAGGUUGAAGAUUGGGUAACACCAAUUGGAGGACCGAACCCGUAUCUGUUGCAAUAGAUUGGGAUGACUUGUGGAUAGGGGUGAAAGGCCAAUCAAACUCGGAGAUAGCUGGUUCUCCGCGAAAUCUAUUUAGGUAGAGCGUUAACUGAAUACCCUCGGGGGUAGAGCACUGGAUAGGCUAUGGGGGCUUACCGCCUUACUGAUCCUAGCCAAACUCCGAAUACCGAGGAGUAAUAGUUGGCAGACACACAGUGGGUGCUAACGUCCAUUGUGGAGAGGGAAACAACCCUGACCUCCAUCUAAGGUCCCGAAGUCAUGGCUAAGUGGGAAAGGAAGUAGAGAUCCCAAAACAACCAGGAUGUUGGCUUAGAAGCAGCCAUCAUUUAAAGAAAGCGUAACAGCUCACUGGUCUAGAUAAGGUUUUCUGCGCCGAAAAUGUAACGGGGCUAAAGCCAUGCACCGAAGAUGAGGACUUGUUUUAUAACGAGUGGUAGCGGAGCGUUCCGUAAGCUGAUGAAGGAGGAUCUGUGAGGACCUCUGGAGGUAUCGGAAGUGAGAAUGUUGACAUGAGUAACGAUAAAGAGGGUGAGAGACCCUCUCGCCGAAAGACCAAGGGUUCCUGCUUAAAGUUAAUCUGAGCAGGGUUAGCCGGCCCCUAAGGUGAGGCGGAGACGCGUAGCUGAUGGGAACCACAUUAAUAUUUGUGGGCCUGGUGGAAGUGACGGAUUAAGUAAGUUGUACAUUUUAUUGGAUUAGAUGUGCUUUGAAUUAGUUCCAGGAAAUAGCUCCACCGUAUAGACCGUACCCUAAACCGACACAGGUGGUUAGGUAGAGAAUACUAAGGCGCUUGAGAGAACUGCGUUGAAGGAACUCGGCAAAUUGCACGCGUAACUUAGGGAUAAGCGUGACCUUUAUUUGGGCAACCAGAUAGAGGUGUCACAAACUAGGGGGUAGCGACUGUUUACCAAAAACACAGGGCUCUGCGAAGUCGUAAGACGAAGUAUAGGGCCUGACGCCUGCCCGGUGCUGGAAGGUUAAUAGGAGGGGUGAGAGCUCUGAAUUGAAGCCCCAGUAAACGGCGGCCGUAACUAUAACGGUCCUAAGGUAGCGAAAUUCCUUGUCGGGUAAGUUCCGACCUGCACGAAUGGCGUAACGACUUCCCCACUGUCUCCAACGCAGACUCAGUGAAAUUGAAUUCCCCGUGAAGAUGCGGGGUUCCUGCGGUUAGACGGAAAGACCCCGUGCACCUUUACUAUAGCUUUACAUUGGCAUUUGUAUUGACAUGUGUAGGAUAGGUGGUAGGCAUUGAAGCAGAGGCGCUAGUUUUUGUGGAGCCAUCCUUGAAAUACCACCCUUAUUGAUGUGGAUGUCUAACCGCGCACCGUUAUCCGGUGCCGGGACAUUGUAUGGUGGGUAGUUUGACUGGGGCGGUCGCCUCCGAAAGAGUAACGGAGGCGCGCGAUGGUAGGC
rnacentral:rRNA from 1 species